rnacentral:rRNA from 1 species
AGUUCGAUUAUGGCUCAGAUUGAACGCUGGCGGGAUGCUUUACACAUGCAAGUCGAACGGCAGCACGGACUUCGGUCUGGUGGCGAGUGGCGAACGGGUGAGUAAUGUAUCGAACGUGCCUAGUAGCGGGGGAUAACUACGCGAAAGCGUAGCUAAUACCGUACAUUGCCCUUCGGGGGAAAGCGGGGGGACCUUCGGGCCUCGCACUAUUAGAGCGGGCCGAUACUGGAUUAGCUUAGCUGCGGCAACGGCUCACCAAGGCGACGAUCCGUAGCUGGUUUCGAGAGGGCUGCGACCAGCCACACUGGGACCGGGAGACACGGCCCAGACUCCAUGGAGGCAGCAAGUGGGGAAUUUUGGACAAUGGGGGAAACUCCCGAUCCAGCCAUCUCCGCGGGGCAGAUGAAGGCCUUCCGGUUGUAAAGCACCCUUGGCAGGAAAGAAACGGCACGGGAUAAUACCCCGUGCAACCUGACGGUACCUGCAGAAUAAGCACCGGCUAACUACGUGCCGAGCAGCCGCGGUAAUACGUAGGGUGCAAGCGCACCGAAUAUUGGCGUAGCGUGCGCAGGCGGUUCGGAAAGAAAGAUGUGAAAUCCCAGAGCUUAACUUUGGAACUGCAUUUUUAAUUACCGAGCUAGAGUGUGUCAGAGUGGAGGUGGAAUUCCGCGCAGUGAAUGCGUAUAUGCGGAGGAACACCGAUGGCGAAGGCAGCCUCCUGGGAUAACACUGACGCUCAUGCACGAAAGCGUGGGGAGCAAACAGGAUUAGAUACUCCCGGUAGUCCACGCCCUAAACGAUGUCAACUAGCUGCUGGGUCGCAGUUGUGCCAACGCGUGAAGUUGACCGCCUGGGGAGUACGGUCGCAGAUUAAAACCAAAGGAAUUGACGGGGACCUGCACAAGCGGUGGAUGAUGUGAUUAAUUCGAUGCAACGCGAAAAACCUUACCUACCCUUGACAUGUCUGGAAUCCCGAAGAGAUUGGGAGCGCCUGCAGAUCCGGAACACAGGUGCUGUAUGGCUGUCGUCAGCUCGCCGUGAGAUGUUGGGUUAAGUCCCGCAACGAGCGCAACCCUUGUCAUUAGUUGCUACGAAAGGGCACUUCAAUGAGACUGCCGGUGACAAACUGAUAGCGGGGUGGGGAUGACGUCAAGUCCUUCAUGGCCCUUAUGGGUAGGGCUUCACACACGUCACGGUACGGUCGGGACAGAGGGUCGCCAACCAAGCAGGGAGCCAAUCCCAGAAACCCGAUCGUAGUCCAUCGCAGUCUGCAACUCGAUCGCGUAGUCGGAAUCGCUAGUAAUCGCGGAUCAGCAUGUCGCGGUGAAUACGUUCCCGGGUCUGUACACACCGCCCGUCACACCAUGGGAGUGGCUGACUGAAGUAGUUAGCUCAAUCGUAAGGAGGGCGAUUACGGUAGGAUUCACAGAUUGGGGGUGAAGUCGUCACUAAGGUAG